CCCCUGGAACGGGGCGCCAUAGAGGGUGAUAGCCCCGUAUGGUUGGACGCCUAUCCUCUGUAAAGCUCCUUCGACGAGUCGAGUAGUUUGGGAAUGCUGCUCUAAAUGGGAGGUAGAUUCCUUCUAAAGCUAAAUACCGGCCAGAGACCGAUAGCGCACAAGUAGAGUGAUCGAAAGAUGAAAAGCACUUUGAAAAGAGGGUUAAAUAGCACGUGAAAUUGUUGAAAGGGAAGCGCCUGUGACCAGACUUGCGCCCCGUCGAUCAUCCGGGGUUCUCCCCGGUGCGCUCGGCGGGGCUCAGGCCAGCAUCGGUUCUCGCGGGGGGACAAAGGCUCCGGGAACGUAGCUCCUCCGGGAGUGUUAUAGCCCGGGGCGUAAUGCCCUCGCGGGGACCGAGGACCGCGCUUCGGCAAGGAUGCUGGCGUAAUGGUCACCGGCGACCCGUCUUGAAACACGGACCAAGGAGUCAAGGUUUUGCGCGAGUGUCUGGGUGUAAAACCCGCACGCGUAAUGAAAGUGAACGUAGGUGAGAGCUUCGGCGCAUCAUCGACCGAUCCUGAUGUAUUCGGAUGGAUUUGAGUAGGAGCGUUAAGCCUUGGACCCGAAAGAUGGUGAACUAUGCUUGGAUAGGGUGAAGCCAGAGGAAACUCUGGUGGAGGCUCGCAGCGGUUCUGACGUGCAAAUCGAUCGUCAAAUCUGAGCAUGGGGGCGAAAGACUAAUCGAACCAUCUAGUAGCUGGUUACC
rnacentral:rRNA from 1 species